GCCCGGUUAGCUCAAUCGGUAGAGCGUGAGACUCUUAAUCUCAAGGUUGCGGGUAAGUUGCAAAUUCGCAGUCCACAACUUCGAACAAGGCAAAAAAACAUGCUAACAAUUCAAACAGGUUCGACCCCCGCAUCGGGCU